AUGAACGCUGGCGGCGUGCCUAAUACAUGCAAGUCGAACGCUUCACAUAUGUGAAGAGUGGCGAACGGGUGAGUAAUACAUAAGUAACCUGGCCUUUACAGGGGGAUAACUAUUGGAAACGAUAGCUAAGACCGCAUAGGUGUGCAGAUCGCAUGAAGUGCACAUGAAAUAUGCUACGGCAUAGGUAGAGGAUGGACUUAUGGCGCAUUAGCUAGUUGGAGGGGUAACGGCCCACCAAGGCGACGAUGCGUAGCCGACCUGAGAGGGUGACCGGCCACACUGGGACUGAGACACGGCCCAGACUCCUACGGGAGGCAGCAGUAGGGAAUAUUCGGCAAUGGGGGAAACCCUGAUGCAGCGACGCCGCGUGGAGGAAGAAGGUUUUCGGAUUGUAAACUCCUGUCGUUAGGGACGAUAAUGACGGUACCUAACAAGAAAGCACCGGCUAACUACGUGCCAGCAGCCGCGGUAAUACGUAGGUGGCGAGCGUUAUCCGGAAUUAUUGGGCGUAAAGAGGGAGCAGGCGGCACUAAGGGUCUGUGGUGAAAGAUCGAAGCUUAACUUCGGUAAGCCAUGGAAACCGUAGAGCUAGAGUGUGUGAGAGGAUCGUGGAAUUCCAUGUGUAGCGGUGAAAUGCGUAGAUAUAUGGAGGAACACCAGUGGCGAAGGCGACGAUCUGGCGCAUAACUGACGCUCAGUCCCGAAAGCGUGGGGAGCAAAUAGGAUUAGAUACCCUAGUAGUCCACGCCGUAAACGAUGAGUACUAAGUGUUGGGAGUCAAAUCUCAGUGCUGCAGUUAACGCAAUAAGUACUCCGCCUGAGUAGUACGUUCGCAAGAAUGAAACUCAAAGGAAUUGACGGGGGCCCGCACAAGCGGUGGAGCAUGUGGUUUAAUUCAAAGCAACGCGAAGAACCUUACCAGGUCUUGACAUCGAUCUAAAGGCUCCAGAGAUGGAGAGAUAGUUAUAGAGAAGACAGGUGGUGCAUGGUUGUCGUCAGCUCGUGUCGUGAGAUGUUGGGUUAAGUCCCGCAACGAGCGCAACCCCUGUUGCCAGUUGCCAGCAUUAAGUUGGGGACUCUGGCGAGACUGCCGGUGACAAGCCGGAGGAAGGCGGGGAUGACGUCAAAUCAUCAUGCCCCUUAUGACCUGGGCUACACACGUGCUACAAUGGACAGAGCAGAGGGAAGCGAAGCCGCGAGGUGGAGCGAAACCCAGAAAACUGUUCUCAGUUCGGACUGCAGUCUGCAACUCGACUGCACGAAGUUGGAAUCGCUAGUAAUCGCGAAUCAGCAUGUCGCGGUGAAUACGUUCUCGGGCCUUGUACACACCGCCCGUCACACCAUGAGAGUCGGUAACACCCGAAGCCGGUGGCCUAACCGCAAGGAAGGAGCUGUCUAAGGUGGGACUGAUGAUUGGGGUG
rnacentral:rRNA from 1 species